UGUCGCAUAAUUGGUGUAUUUCAUGUAUAUUCCUUGUUCGGUGUAACUGAAUACAUAAUAUCUGUCUUCAUGAAGAAAUGCAUAAAUGGGCAUCAUAUGUCAUCGUCAAAUUAGACGAGAAAAAUGCACCAAGUUAUUGCCCAUGGCUGGGUUCACUAAUUAGUUAUGUCUAUGGUAAGCACAUGCAGCACUGUUAAUUUGUGUAUAUUUUCAUGUUAAAUGACAGGUGAACUUUCAUAUAUGCAGUUAAACAAACGUGGUCUCGCUUAAUUAUUGGCAUAUAUAUGCACAAGAUAUGUAAGUCACACAUAAAGCCAUCCCGUAUCAGGUAAUUCAACUCAUGUUAAAGUCAAUCAUCCAGACAGCCGUCACCCAAUUUAUUUGUCCAUUAUUGUAUAAAUUGGCAUCUGCGUUGUAUGAAGAGGAGUCCUAAGUUUGACAAUCGAGUAGAGUAGUCACGCUUUCUUGACGUGGUGGCCAUGUCGGCCACCGCGAUGUAAAAUUGUACUUCAUGAACAUUGGAAGCGUUGUGUUAGAAAUUAUUUAACAGAAAUAAAUCUCGAUAAAAACAGAAA